GCCUUCGUGGUGUAGUGGUCAGCAGGCUCGCCUCGUAUUCGAGAGGUCCGUGGUUCGAUUCCUGGCGAGGGCA
rnacentral:tRNA from 1 species